UACGGAGGAUCCGAGCGUUAUCCGGAUUUAUUGGGUUUAAAGGGUGCGCAGGCGGCCAUUUAAGUCAGCGGUUAAAUCGUGGGGCUCAACCCCAUUCUGCCGUUGAUACUGGGUGGCUUGAUUGCGGUCGAGGUUGGCGGAAUUCGUUGUGUAGCGGUGAAAUGCAUAGAUAUGACGAAGAACACCGAUUGCGUAGGCAGCUGACCAGACCGCAAAUGACGCUCAUGCACGAAAGUGCGGAGAUCGAACAGGAUUAGAUACCCUGGUAGUCCGCACAGUAAACGAUGAAUACUUGUUUUCAGCGAUAUAAUGUCGGAGGCAAAGCGAAAGCGAUAAGUAUUCCACCUGGGGAGUACGCCGGCAACGGUGAAACUCAAAUGAAUUGACGGGG
rnacentral:rRNA from 1 species